AUUGAACGCUGGCGGCAUGCUUUACACAUGCAAGUCGAACGGCAGCGCGGGCUUCGGCCUGGCGGCGAGUGGCGAACGGGUGAGUAAUAUAUCGGAACGUACCCAAGAGUGGGGGAUAACGUAGCGAAAGUUACGCUAAUACCGCAUACGAUCUAAGGAUGAAAGCAGGGGAUCGCAAGACCUUGUGCUCCUGGAGCGGCCGAUAUCUGAUUAGCUAGUUGGUGAGGUAAAGGCUCACCAAGGCAACGAUCAGUAGCUGGUCUGAGAGGACGACCAGCCACACUGGAACUGAGACACGGUCCAGACUCCUACGGGAGGCAGCAGUGGGGAAUUUUGGACAAUGGGGGCAACCCUGAUCCAGCAAUGCCGCGUGAGUGAAGAAGGCCUUCGGGUUGUAAAGCUCUUUUGUCAGGGAAGAAAAGGGUCUGGCUAAUAUCCAGAUCUGCUGACGGUACCUGAAGAAUAAGCACCGGCUAACUACGUGCCAGCAGCCGCGGUAAUACGUAGGGUGCAAGCGUUAAUCGGAAUUACUGGGCGUAAAGCGUGCGCAGGCGGUUUCGUAAGUCUGUCGUGAAAUCCCCGGGCUUAACCUGGGAAUGGCGAUGGAGACUGCGAGGCUAGAGUUUGGCAGAGGGGGGUAGAAUUCCACGUGUAGCAGUGAAAUGCGUAGAGAUGUGGAGGAACACCGAUGGCGAAGGCAGCCCCCUGGGUCAAAACUGACGCUCAUGCACGAAAGCGUGGGGAGCAAACAGGAUUAGAUACCCUGGUAGUCCACGCCCUAAACGAUGUCUACUAGUUGUUGGGUCUUAAUUGACUUAGUAACGCAGCUAACGCGUGAAGUAGACCGCCUG
rnacentral:rRNA from 1 species